UAUGACCCCCCACCUAUUAAGCUAUCCUCUGUUUCUUCUCUGGCGACAUCAACUGCGAUAUUUCUCAUCUCCGAUCAAAUGUCAUACUGUGUUGGGUGAUCCGAUACCUGAUCCACCACACCUCAGCUGACCUGACGAUGAGCAUAUCAAGCUCAUCGCUUGUGGUCCACUUGGUGGUCUCCUUGUUUGGUCGCCCUCUCAUCAACUUCCAUUAUCCACCGGAGAGUUGAGCUAACAUUCAGUUAGUAGUUAUGUAGGAUUAGUAAUGUGUAUUUUGUAGGUUAACUUAAGUAUGAUGUUACUAGUACAUUUGAAGUAGGAUAACUGAAAUUAGAUGUUAAUUUUGUAUGUUGAUGGUCAAAAUUUAUAGCAUUUCAGUCUUAAUUUA